rfam:Cymbidium ringspot tombusvirus RNA
UAGUGAGACUAGGUUCGUGUGAUGACGAGUCAGGUCGGGCUCCGCGCUGGGUUUGGUCACCCAGGGGAUGGAGAUAUGGAAAGGAUCUCGUGCGCUAUAAGUCUAACGAAAGUUGAGCUUGCAACAUGGGUCUAUGCCUGAAUAAGUCACGUGAGUUGCCACCACUA